CCUAUGCCGGGAUUAGCUUGUUGGUGGGGUAACGGCCUACCAAGGCGACGAUCCGUAGCUGGUCUGAGAGGACGACCAGCCACACUGGGACUGAGACACGGCCCAGACUCCUACGGGAGGCAGCAGUAGGGAAUAUUGGACAAUGGGCGAAAGCCUGAUCCAGCAAUGCCGCGUGUGUGAAGAAGGCCUAUGGGUUGUAAAGCACUUUCAGUUGGGAAGAAAAGCUUUAGGUUAAUACCCUAGAGUCUUGACGUUACCAAUAGAAGAAGCACCGGCUAACUCUGUGCCAGCAGCCGCGGUAAGACAGAGGGUGCGAGCGUUAAUCGGAAUUACUGGGCGUAAAGCGUACGUAGGUGGUUGAGUAAGUCGGAUGUGAAAGCCCAAGGCUUAACCUUGGAACUGCAUUCGAUACUGCUCAACUAGAGUACAGUAGAGGGAAGCG
rnacentral:rRNA from 1 species